UGGUCCAUGUAGAAGAGAUUUUAAAAAUUGAAAAUGACAUGAAAAUGGAAGUAAGUGAUUUUGAUUGCACGGGUUUCAAUUUGCGAUUUCAAUAAUUAGAAAUAUCAUUCUCGCUAGAGAACCCUAGAGAGAGCAUAUUCCUAGCCACAAGUGUCGUUUGAGGAGAAUCGGCCAUUGGCCAACUUUUCACCGUUCAUUGGAUUCUUGCGGUUAACCGGAGCCUUAUCCGUCGCCGUCUGCCGUUCUGAAGCACCAACAAAGGGCGAAACCACCAUUGGAUGUGGUUUUUAAAGCUUCUCGUUGUUUCUUUCGGUUUUUCUUUGGUACUGUUUCUGAUUAUCAAGAAACUCCAAAUUGGAAGAUUGAAUUUCUGGGCUGAUAUUUUGUUGAGCAAAGUUUGUUGGAUGAUGAUUGUAUAAGAUUCUUACUCUCUGUUGUAGCAGCUUCUGCUUUAUUUCUAGCUAGAUUUUUUAUUGAUCCUAAAGUGCAUCCUUGGGUAAGUAUAUGUAAUGGAUGGUGAAAGAAUUUUAAUUUAAAAAGAAUAAU